UUAGUCUGUCCUCUCCCCCACCAGGCCGGGCCCCAGAGCUCCAUCCAGGUGAGACCUAGCUGAGAAGGGGUGGAGACGCCCCAUCCUGCGCCUUUCCCUUUUCCGGUCGGCGCUGGGCAGGUGCCACGUCACCUGGGGCCUGGGCAUGGCUCACCGCCAUCCUGGGCUGGGUGCUCCCCACCGAAUCCCAGCGGGGAGCUGCUCAGCAUAUAACAAAGAAAGAUCUCGAUCUUGGCAAAGUGAGCCAAGAGGCAGCUGAGAGACCGGAUUUGCUCGGGCUCACCUCCUCCAGGGUUUCUAAUGGGAAAAGAGGUGACAUUUGGGACCCGUGGGCCCUCUUCUUGCUCAUUUCAGCCAUCGCCCUCACUCAUCUCUGGGACAGCACUGACAAAGGUGGAGGUGGACUCCUAAAAGAGCCACAGCCUCAGGACCAACUUUGAAAUUAGAGACCACACAAAACCAAAACACACUUCAUGAAGAAGCAAGUUCCUCUCCUCCGCCCCCACGCGUGACCGGCAGCCAGCCACCGCGCCGAGACCAGCGCGUGGGCCAAUCAGCAGCGCCCAUCCGAGCUCCCUCCCCGCACACACCCGGAAGAGCAGUCUUUCCAGAGCUGCGACCCCAAGGCCCCAGGGCUGCCUGGCCUCAGGCCUCAAACCCAAGCCCCGCCUCUUUCUCCAAGAACCUCCCAGUGUACCUGCCCCUGGGGUUUAACUGGUCCUCCCUCCUUCGUUUCUGCCAGAGCCAGGUUGACUCACUGCCAGGAACCUUUGCUCCUUCCUCCUCUCCCCCCCCAACAAUCCCAGUCACUCUUCCCAACAUUCCCAGAGCAGUAUCCCUGGAGCUGCCACUCCCUGGCUCGCCCAGCACGACGAUGGCUCCUUCUCUGCAGACCUGCAGUUUACCCAAAGCCGAGCACAUUCUUUUCCUCUCUAAGGCCUCACUCAGAUUUGGGGCCUCUACCUUGCUCUAGAGGCCGGGGGACAUGUUAACUGCCCCCACCACAUCUCCUACAUCUACUUGUGAACUUGCUCAGCAGGUACAACCCACAGAGAUGCAGAGAAACAGAGGGCAUGUAGCACCUGCUUACUUUCCAUAAGAGAUGGAAGUUCUCAGUGACAGUAAAUGAAAAGCCUGUUGGAUUAGAAAACAUUAAAUGGAAAACUUUCUCAAACAGGAAAUUGUUGUGAAAUAUCAAUGUACUGAAUAA